GACAGAGGUCUCGAGCGUUAGGCGGAAUCACUGGGCUUAAAGCGUGUGUAGGUGGAUGCCUAAGUACCUUGUGAAACCCCACGGCUUAACCGUGGAACUGCUUGGUAUACUGGGUGUCUUGAGCCAGCUAGGGGCUACCGGAACAAAUGGUGGAGCGGUGAAAUGCGUAGAUAUCAUUUGGAACGCCAAUGGUGAAAACAGGUAGCUGGGGCUGUGCUGACACUGAGACACGAAAGCCAGGGGAGCGAACGGG
rnacentral:rRNA from 1 species